rnacentral:rRNA from 1 species
AUUGAACGCUGGCGGCAUGCCUUACACAUGCAAGUCGAACGGUAACGGGUCUUCGGAUGCUGACGAGUGGCGAACGGGUGAGUAAUACAUCGGAACGUGCCCAGUCGUGGGGGAUAACGAAGCGAAAGCUUUGCUAAUACCGCAUACGAUCUACGGAUGAAAGCGGGGGAUCGCAAGACCUCGCGCGAUUGGAGCGGCCGAUGGCAGAUUAGGUAGUGGGUGGGGUAAAGGCUUACCAAGCCUACGAUCUGUAGCUGGUCUGAGAGGACGACCAGCCACACGGGAGCUGAGACACGGCCCAGACUCCUACGGGAGGCAGCAGUGGGGAAUUUUGGACAAUGGGCGCAAGCCUGAUCCAGCAAUGCCGCGUGCAGGAUGAAGGCCUUCGGGUUGUAAACUGCUUUUGUACGGAACGAAAAGCUCUGGGUUAAUACCCUGGGGUCAUGACGGUACCGUAAGAAUAAGCACCGGCUAACUACGUGCCAGCAGCCGCCGUAA